rnacentral:tRNA from 1 species
UUUGCUAUAGCUCAUUUGGUAGAGCAGUUGACUAUUAAUCAACGGGUAACUGGUUCGAGUCCAGUUAGCAAAACCA